GAUGAACGCUGGCGGCGUGCCUAAUACAUGCAAGUCGAGCGAACGGACGAGAAGCUUGCUUUUCUGAUGUUAGCGGCGGACGGGUGAGUAACACGUGGAUAACCUACCUAUAAGACUGGGAUAACUUCGGGAAACCGGAGCUAAUACCGGAUAAUAUUUUGAACCGCAUGGUUCAAAAGUGAAAGACGGUCUUGCUGUCACUUAUAGAUGGAUCCGCGCUGCAUUAGCUAGUUGGUAAGGUAACGGCUUACCAAGGCAACGAUGCAUAGCGGACCUGAGAGGGUGAUCGGCCACACUGGAACUGAGACACGGUCCAGACUCCUACGGGAGGCAGCAGUAGGGAAUCUUCCGCAAUGGGCGAAAGCCUGACGGAGCAACGCCGCGUGAGUGAUGAAGGUCUUCGGAUCGUAAAACUCUGUUAUUAGGGAAGAACAUAUGUGUAAGUAACUGUGCACAUCUUGACGGUACCUAAUCAGAAAGCCACGGCUAACUACGUG
rnacentral:rRNA from 1 species